GACGAACGCUGGCGGCGUGCUUAACACAUGCAAGUCGAGCGAUGAAGUUCCUUCGGGAAUGGAUUAGCGGCGGACGGGUGAGUAACACGUGGGUAACCUGCCUCAUAGAGGGGAAUAGCCUUUCGAAAGGAAGAUUAAUACCGCAUAAGAUUGUAGUAUCGCAUGAUACAGCAAUUAAAGGAGUAAUCCGCUAUGAGAUGGACCCGCGUCGCAUUAGCUAGUUGGUGAGGUAACGGCUCACCGAGGCGACGAUGCGUAGCCGACCUGAGAGGGUGAUCGGCCACAUUGGGACUGAGACACGGCCCAGACUCCUACGGGAGGCAGGAGUGAGGAAUCUUCCGCAAUGGGCGAAAGCCUGACGGAGCGACACCGCGUGAAGGAUGCAGCCGGUUUCCGGUGUAAACUUCUGUUCUGAGGGACGAAAUUUUUGACGGUACCUCAGGAGAAAGCAUCGGCUAAUUCUGUGCCAGCAGCCGCGGUAA
rnacentral:rRNA from 1 species